rnacentral:rRNA from 1 species
AAUCUUCCGUAGGUGAACCUGCGGAAGGAUCAUUACCGAGUUGAUUCGGGCUCCGGCCCGAUCCUCCCACCCUUUGUGUACCUACCUCUGUUGCUUUGGCGGGCCGCGGUCCUCCGCGGCCGCCCCCCUCCCCGGGGGGUGGCCAGCGCCCGCCAGAGGACCAUCAAACUCCAGUCAGUAAACGAUGCAGUCUGAAAAACAUUUAAUAAACUA